UGAGGACAGGCAAGAACACCCGCUGAAC
rnacentral:rRNA from 1 species